UACGUAGGUGGCAAGCGUUGUCCGGAUUUACUGGGCGUAAAGAGCGCGCAGGCGGCCGAGUAAGUCGAAUGUGAAAGCCCCCGGCUCAACUGGGGAAGGUCAUUCGAUACUGUUCGGCUUGAAGAUAGGAGAGGGAAGCGGAAUUUCAGGUAUAGUGGUGAAAUGCGUAGAUAUCUGAAGGAACACCAGUGGCGAAGGCGGCUACCUGGACAAUUGCUGACGCUCAGGCACGAAAGCGUGGGGAGCAGAAGGG
rnacentral:rRNA from 1 species